CUAUUGCUAUUUCCCUCAGCCCCACCCUGGUCACCACCUCUGGUUCCCAUUCUGGAGGCUCUACAGGUACCUGUUCAGGCUGUUAUCCCAACGUCCUGGAGUGGGUUACCCCAAAGCUAGAUGUCCUUGUGGAAAUCUCUACCUCACCUCAGUCUCCCCAGCUGUAAAAUGGAGUCAAGAGCAACUUCAUCUAAGCAUUUGGAGGCUUAACUGAGAAAUGAAGUCUACUGAUAAUUGAAUGGAUGAUGACGCCACCUCUUUCCAGUAUGUUGACUUCCUGGUUAAACAUCUUCAGUCAUCUCAGCCAUUCUUCAGUUGAAUUGCCCAAGACUAACAUCUACAGAAGGAGGAAUGGAGAAAGAUGUAACUAGAGGAACAGAGACAUCAAAAGCCUCAGAAAGACAGCUGAUCACCUGACCAGCUCUCAAAUGAUGAAUUGCCUUAGCUCUCUGCCUUCAAUAUAACCUUUCAGCGAGAGAUUAGACAGAGGCCCGUUUCUAGGAUGUGAACCCACUUUUUCUUACAUUGCUACUUUCUGAAUAAAGCACUAAAGAUUCA